rfam:Triticum urartu cultivar G1812 contig978851, whole genome shotgun sequence.
CAAAUACUCCCUCCGUCCCAAAAUUCUUGUCUUAAAUUUGUCUAGAUACGGAUGUACCUAAUACUAAAAUGUGACUUGAUACAUCCGUAUUUAGACAAAUCUAAGACAAGAAUUUUGGGACGGAGGGAGUAUAAU